CCUAUGUGAAUGGACUGAAGACCACAGUGUUGAGUUGAUGUCUGGGAAUUGGCUCCCUUGAGUAAAGGACUCACGGCUCCACUCUUCUGGCUCAGGUAAAGGUCAUCUAGAAACCAUUUGCAGAGGAAAUGCUCCAAAGGCAGCAGCGCCGAAGUUCUUUGCUAAGUGGCAGGCUGUUCCCAAGGAUGCACACGUCUGACUCGGCUGCUGCUUGUUUUUGUUCAACCUGACGGACUCUUUCUUCACGCCUUCCAUCUCCGGGAACUUUACUGUAGGUGCCUGGGAACACAAGCAAAAA